UGGGGAAUUUUGGACAAUGGGCGAAAGCCUGAUCCAGCAAUGCCGCGUGUGUGAAGAAGGCCUUCGGGUUGUAAAGCACUUUUGUCCGGAAAGAAAUCCUUGGCUCUAAUACAGUCGGGGGAUGACGGUACCGGAAGAAUAAGCACCGGCUAACUACGUGCCAGCAGCCGCGGUAAUACGUAGGGUGCAAGCGUUAAUCGGAAUUACUGGGCGUAAAGCGUGCGCAGGCGGUUUGCUAAGACCGAUGUGAAAUCCCCGGGCUCAACCUGGGAACUGCAUUGGUGACUGGCAGGCUAGAGUAUGGCAGAGGGGGGUAGAAUUCCACGUGUAGCAGUGAAAUGCGUAGAGAUGUGGAGGAAUACCGAUGGCGAAGGCAGCCCCCUGGGCCAAUACUGACGCUCAUGCACGAAAGCGUGGGGAGCAAAACAGGAUUAGAUACCCUGGUAGUCCACGCCCUAAACGAUGUCAACUAGUUGUUGGGGAUUCAUUCCUUAGUAACGUAGCUAACGCGUGAAGUUGACCGCCUGGGGAGUACGGUCGCAAGAUUAAAACUCAAAUGAAUUGACGAGGUCAUA
rnacentral:rRNA from 1 species